GUUUAAAAUGUUUAAUUGAGCAGAUGGUUUGGAAUGUGAGGACUGAAUACCCCCUUUUGAAAGCCAAGAGCUACGGGAGUCUAUCAGGCAUGGGAUGGGGGAAGAGGAGAAAACGAAGGAAAGACAUCAUUCCAAAUAGCCACAGGUGGGAAGCCAGAGUGGGGAGGAGGGGUGGCCUCACUUUGUCACACCACUGACCUGAAUCACAGGGCAGGGCCGGAAGGGAAUGCCAGUUGCAAAUCUUGCCACCUCAUCUCACAGCUCACCAAAUAUUACGGCUUCACACAUAAAAACCAGAGUGCUAAGCUGCCAGGAGUGUUAAACUCAAGUAGCUGUGACCAGAAGCAGGCAGGCUCUGGGGACAGGAGUGGGGAGGCUGUCACAGCAGGGCCAGCAGCUCCCAUUGGACCCUCCCAGCUCUUAGGUAGCAACUGGAACUGAGCAGGAAAUGUAGCUGUUGCCCUGAGAGCCACCUCUGCUGCUCGCCUCUCCAUGGUGACAGCAUUUAGGGGAGUCCUGCACCUCCUUAGCAGGAGCUGGGCUGCCUCUGAGCAGAAAAUAAAUGCUUUCAAGCCCCAUAAAUCAAUGAAAAUUAGCGGGAGUCAAGGUAAAAAUCCAUCCUCCACCACUUGGAUGUUUGAGCCAAGGUUCUUCUCGGUGAUUUAGAGCCAUGUAAUUAGAGUGAUCCACUCUCAGUUGCUGUUGUUGUUUUUUCUUCCUCCCUUCUCUUUCCAGACAAAGUCCUCUCCUAUGAGGCAGGUUCCCACUGGCCUCUAGCUCCUCUGGCUAGAAACAGGUGUGUGCACCUGUCAGCUUGGCACCUUGAUGGAUCUCUGUGCUAUCUUGGUUCGCCUCCUCCCUGCCUGCCCCUAAUGAACAGUCCGCCCCAGGCUAGGAAGGGAAUUCUGCUUAGAAGAAUGCCUUGAUGUGCUUAACACAUGGCAGAUGUGCUCACAACUUCAGAGAAGGGAGAAUAUUGCUCUGCAUGAGAGAGAGAAGAGAAAAAAGAGGAGGAGGAGCAAGGCACCAACGGGAUGGAGAGAGGCCAGGUGUGGAGAAGGGAGAAGUGAAACUCCAUACCGUUGGAUUGACAAAUGGGUGUUUAACAACAAUGAUGCCCAUUGUGCCCCUUCAAGUUGUCUGUGCUGCAUAAUGUAAGCUCUCUCUUUCUCCCCUACAAAAUCUUUGAGUAUAUCUAUUAAACUCACAAUUUUUAGAACAUCAAUCACAAAAUCUGGUGAUUUACACAUAUUCUUUCAUUUAUUUCCCCUAUAACUUUUCACAGAUGAAGAUACAGGCUCAGAAAAUAUGGACAACUUGCUCAAGGUCACACAAGUGACAGCUGUUGGAGGAGGGCUCUGGAUACUGUAGUGCGUUGCCCUUCUGGGCCUCAGUUUUUGAGGUUAAAAAGGUCACUUAACCUCCAUGGGUCCCCAGUUUUUCUAUAUUUAAGAAGUAUCUUGGCUGGGCACAGUGGCUGACUCCCGUAAUCCCAGCAUUUUGGGAGGCUGAAGCAGGUGGAUUGCUUGAUGCCAGGGGUUCGAGACCAGCCUGGCCAACAUGGCAAAACCCCAUCUCUAUACAAAAAUUAGCCGGGCAUGGUGGCGUGCGCCUGUAGUCCCAGCUACUCGGGAGGCUAAGGCAGGAGAAUUGCCUGAACCCAGGAGACAGAGGGUGCAGUGAGCCAAGAUUGUGCCACUGCACUCCAGCCUAGGUGACAGAGCGAGACUCUGUCACAAAAAAAACACAAAAAUCUUUAUUGCUUCUUUCCUUGGUCACUCAGAUACUUGAUAGAUGAAAGAGGUCAUAGAUGUAAAGUACUUUCAGAGAUUUUAAACAAACAACUGUGAAAGAAAGCUAUUUAUUAAUAUAAUACACAUCUCCCCAUGCUAAAAGGUCUACUUAAUCCAUCCUGUCCUAAGA
rnacentral:lncRNA from 1 species